GAGAUAUACAUGUUCCAGCAGAGGACUUGGCUAUCUCUAGGCCCAAAAAAUAUUUCAAAUCCCCUAGAUCUUUCAAAACAAAUUGGGGCUUCAAAUAUUGCUUCAAUUCUUCUAUAUCUGUCGUACUAUCACCUGCCAAAAUGUUAUCAUCUACAUACACCAAGAUAACAAGAAGACUUGAUUUUGUGUUUUUCAUGAACAAAGAGUAAUCACAUUUGGACUGCACAAAACCAUUAGUUAAAUAGCUGUGGAUAACUUUUGAAACCACUGCUUGCUAGCUGGUUUCAAACCAUACAUAGAUUUUUGCAACUUGCAUGCUAAUUUCCCCCCUUCUCUAAAUGGUUUGAAUAAGAGCCUGGAGGUAAAGACACAUACACUUCUUAAUAUGAAUAUCU
rnacentral:misc_RNA from 1 species